rnacentral:sRNA from 1 species
AUACUGAAGCCAGCAGGGCCUGCUCAGGCCCAUUCGUGGAGCAGAGAAGAUCCAAGGGCACCAAGAACCUGAAGAAAGGUUCAGUGCCCUGUGCCCAAGACCAGGGCGCAGACAGAAGCUCAGACAACUCCCACCAGGACAGGCCAGAGGAACCCAGCCCAGGAGGCUGCUCCAGACUGGAGGAAGUGAAAAUACCCCAUGGAGUGAAGCUUGUGUGUUACGUUUUCCAGCCUUCUCCUUCAGGAGGCACAGCAGGGGACCCUGGUGGCCUCUAUGACCCGUUCUACCCUCCAAGAAACGGUUCCCUGGCCCUUGGCGACCCCAACUCGGACCCUGCAUGUCCCCAGAGUGGCCCAAUGGAGGCCGAAGAGGAGUCUCUGCCGGAGCGGGCAGAGGACUCAGCCUUCGGGAGCUCCCAGACCCAGUGCUGAGUGAGGAGGUGGUGGAGGGCAUUGCCGCUGGCAUUGAGGCAGCCCUCUGGGACCUGACACAAGGCACCAAUGGCCGGUACAAGACCAAGUAUCGCAGCCUGCUGUUCAACCUGCGGGACCCCAGGAACCUGGACUUGUUUCUCAAAGUGGUUCAUGGAGCUGUCACCCCCUAUGACCUGGUGCGGAUGAGCUCGAUGCAGCUGGCCCCCCAGGAGCUGGCCCGCUGGCGGGACCAGGAGGAGAAAAGGGGCCUGAAUAUCAUUGAGCAGCAACAGAAGGAGCCGUGCAGACUUCCAGCCUCCAAAAUGACCCACAAGGGCGAAGUGGAGAUUCAGCGGGACAUGGACCAGAUGCUGACCCUGGAGGAUCUGGUGGUAAGUUGGAGCCUGACCUGGUGCUGGGCAGAGCCCAUGCCUGGGGGUCCCACGCCUCGCCUCACCAGCAGUGUGGCCUUGGGCAUGUCACCUUACUGCUCUGAGGCCCACCUUGUUUGUGAUAAAAUGGGGACAGCGAUCCUUAUCGCAUAGGGGAACAUGGGGUGGGACAGUGCUGCUGGCACAGGCCUGCCAGCACCUUGUCACUGUCGGUCCUCCUCCUUUUGGCCUCACCCCAAGGCCCCCACAUGAGUGGUAUUAAGUCCCAUCAUCACAGGCAUCCCCAACCUCAGGCAUUCUGCCCAGAUCGCUGCUGGGAAGCAGCAGGCUGCGCUGUUCCAGGCAGUGACUUUUUCAGAUGGAAGGAAAGAAGACCCACUGUAUUCAGUGGAUUGGUUUAGGGAUGCUCCAGGCAGGGAACCACCCGGCGCCCUGGCAGUCCAUCCAGAGGAACUUGUCCUCAGACCUGGAAAGCCAACGGGAGUGACAAUAGUCUAGGGCUCUUGGCGCUGAGGAUCUGCUCCAUCCUUAUGUCCAUCCUGCUCCUUCCUCACCCGUGGCCCCGGCUUGCACAUAGCCUGUCAUGGUGGCUCAGCAGCUCCAGCAUCCAUGAAGCUAUCAUCUCAGACUCCUGCAGUUGAUUAGAACUUUCCCUUGGCUUCCUUCGGUCACUCUCAGAAGGCCACUCUGGCUGUAGUUGAGUGUUCUGUGGGUCAGAUGUUCACCUGGGUCUCAUCAGCUGCGUGUUCAGGAGAGGGGUGCAGGGCAGGUCCCUUUAACUAUAUUUAGUCAGUCAGUAUAUUUAUGGGGCACCUACCAGGUGCCAGGCACGGUUCUAGGCACUGGGGAAGUGACAGUGAACGACAGAAAUCCCUGCUCCCCACUCCUACCACUAAUAUUCAGGCCAACGCCUGGGAGAACCUCUACCUGUGCCAAGAGGAUCCCUAAGGGGUGUGGCUGCUCCUCAGUCUAAAUCAGUUUGUAUUCCCUGAACAAACUGAAUGGCAAUGUCGGAGAAAGACCUAGAUAGCCACAGAGAGGAAGAAAGAAAGGAGGUGGGAGGGGAGGGGAGGGGAAAAUAACACAUGAUAACAAUCUUUACUGUUUAUUGAACACCUACUGUUCGCACCUUUUACAAGCAGUGUCUCAUUCACAUCUCACAAUGGCCUAGGAGGUUGGUGCUAUUCCCUGCCCAUUUCUGGGAUGAGGAACCUGGCGCCAAGGUCACAUAUGUGUGGUGGGGAAGCUGAGAUUUGAACCCAGGCUGGCUGACUCCAAAGCCUGUGCUUUGAGACUGUUCUGGAGGUGGUUGAUAAGAGUAGAGUUUCAAAAUCCCUUUAAACGUUCCUAAAGCAGUGAUUGUUUUAUGUUUAAAGCUAUUUCUAGUAUGAGGAAAAAAAGUGAUUUGGCAAUAGACGUCAAGAGUCUUUAAAAUGUUCCUUCUCCCUGAUUCUGUCAUCUGCUUCUGAAAUCUUGUCCUAAGGACAUAAUUUAAAGUUUAGGAAACUACUUUCUGCACAAAAAUGUCCUCAGUGCUAUUUAGUAAUAGUGAAAACCUGGAAAUGACCCAAAUGUAUAGCAACAGAGAUGAGACGUCCACUCCAGUCUCACCCCAUCACAGCAGUGUCUACGGGGACUAUAUGAUGUGACAAAUGCCUCUGCUAUUAUUAGUGAACAGAAAGAGAACACUAAGUUGAAUAUUUGAUCCCAGCUGUUUCAGGAAAAGGACCCCCCAAACCCUGUGUAUAGAAAAAGAUUAUAAAGGGCCGGGCGCGGUGGCCCAUACCUGUAAUCCCAGCACUUUGGGAGGCCGAGGCGGGUGGAUCAUGAGGUCAAGAGAUGGAGACCAUCCUGGUCAACCAACAUAGUAAAACCCAGUCUCUACUAAAAAUACAAGAAUUAGCUGGGUGUAGUGGCACACGCCUAUAGCUACUCAGGAGGCUGAGGCAGAAGAAUCGCUUGAACCCGGGAGGUGGAGGUUGCAGUGAGCUGAGAUCGAGCCACUGCACCCCAGCCCGGGCAACAGAGCAAGACUCUGUCUCAGAAAACAAACAAACAGA